GUGGGGAAUAUUGGACAAUGGGCGGAAGCCUGAUCCAGCCAUGCCGCGUGUGUGAAGAAGGCCUUUUGGUUGUAAAGCACUUUAAGCGAGGAGGAGGCUCUUAAGGUUAAUACCCUUGAUGAGUGGACGUUACUCGCAGAAUAAGCACCGGCUAACUCUGUGCCAGCAGCCGCGGUAAUACAGAGGGUGCGAGCGUUAAUCGGAUUUACUGGGCGUAAAGCGUGCGUAGGCGGCUGAUUAAGUCGGAUGUGAAAUCCCUAAGCUUAACUUAGGAGUUGCAUUCGAUACUGGUCAGCUAGAGUAUGGGAGAGGAUGGUAGAAUUCCAGGUGUAGCGGUGAAAUGCGUAGAGAUCUGGAGGAAUACCGAUGGCGAAGGCAGCCAUCUGGCCUAAUACUGACGCUGAGGUACGAAAGCAUGGGGAGCAAACAGGAUUAGAUACCCGAGUAGUCC
rnacentral:rRNA from 1 species